CGUUAUUCCGACAAGCCUCAACUCCCUCCUCCUCCUCCUCCUCCUCUCAUAUAUAGCUAGCGUUCAGGAAAAUCCACGCCUAUGACCCUCAUCUGGUACUGGCCAAUCGCCCUUAGUGGAUAACGGCCAUUUCCCCGAGGAUGAAGAAGAAGAAGAAGAAGAAGUAAGCGCUCCGUGCUAUGAAGGCUGCUUCACCGAUAGCUCCUGCGGGAAACGGUCUGUUAGCGAAAGCGACGAAGUGACUUUGCUCUUGGCCUCUGGGUCUGCCACUUGCCCAUACCUUGUUGGUAACCGGCGGUGUCGAGCGACAGCUGUUAAGGGCUCAAUUUUGUGAAGAUCCCGUCCUAUACGUCGCAUCGCCGAAAACCUUUCUCUCCCGUGGCGUGAGAUGAAGCGAAGAAACGAGGAAAAUGCGCACGAUGCGGAUAGGUCGUUUCGGAGGGUCACGUUGGCUGUGACGUUGGCGUCACGUGCCUCGGAGAAAAAGUGGCAGCGGCGUUUGCUGGUUAACAUGUCAUGGCGCGUGAGGCGUUGCGCCGCUCGUCGCCCGCAGCAGCAGCAGUGUGGACGUUAUUGCAUGUGUAUGUGAAGAGCCGGUGUUAUGGGCCGCGCUAUAGGAGGUGUACGAACAAAGGUGGUCUUACUGCGGACUACAAUCGACAGGGCGAAUCAUGUAUGUUGCGAAAGGCAAGCUCAAAUAAACAGCUCUAUCACUGUC